rnacentral:lncRNA from 10 species
AUUUUUAUUGGCCAGAGCCCAGUCACAUGACCCCAACUUAACUGCAAGGGAUGCUGGGCAAUAUAGUCCAGUAGUGUGGCUAGCAGGAAAAUUAAAGGGGUUUGGUGAAUCCAUUGCUCCUGCCAUCACCCAGAUUAAAGACCUGCCCUCUCAUCCGAAAAUUGGAAUUACUAUCCUAGGCAAACUGGAAUUUAUUCUUCAAAAUUGUUGAAGUUAUCUCCUCAGUGGGAU